UACAGAGGGUGCUAGCGUUGUUCGGAAUCAUUGGGCGUAAAGGGCGUGUAGGCGGUUUGCUAAGUCAUGUGUGAAAUCCCUCGGCUUAACCGGGGAACGACGCAUGAAACUGGCAAGCUAGAGUACCAAAGAGGGGGGUGGAAUUCCCGGUGUAGCGGUGAAAUGCGUAGAUAUCAUUUGGAACGCCAAUGGUGAAAACAGCUCGCUGGGAAUGAUCUGACACUGAGACGCGAAAGCCAGGGGAGCGAACGGG
rnacentral:rRNA from 1 species